UAAGAUAGAGGCGCGGUACUUAUCAUUAGGACGGUCGAAAUGACAGGCAGUCAGACUUGUUCCGAAAGGAAUUGCCGCCGAAAUACACAGUCAUCGCCUUAAAGCUGUGUAUUGGGAUGCAGGAGAAUAUGCUGCAUACUGUCACACUCGUGGAGCGCUAUCCGU
rnacentral:ncRNA from 1 species